rnacentral:rRNA from 1 species
AUACGAAGGGGGCUAGCGUUGUUCGGAUUUACUGGGCGUAAAGCGCACGCAGGCGGAUUGAUUAGUUAGGGGUGAAAUCCCGAGGCUCAACCUCGGAACUGCCUCUAAAACUGUCAAUCUCGAGACCGGAAGAGGUGAGUGGAACUCCUAGUGUAGAGGUGGAAUUCGUAGAUAUUAGGAAGAACACCAGUGGCGAAGGCGGCUCACUGGUCCGGUACUGACGCUGAGGUGCGAAAGCGUGGGGAGCGAACAGGAUUAGAAACCCUUGUAGUCC